rnacentral:rRNA from 1 species
AAUGAACGCUGGCGGCAUGCUUUACACAUGCAAGUCGAACGGUAACAGGCUUUCGGGUGCUGACGAGUGGCGAACGGGCGAGUAAUGCAUCGGAACGUACCCAGAGCUGGGGGAUAAGGCAGCGAAAGCUGUGCUAAUACCGCACGUGAUCUGAGGAUGAAAGCGGGGGAGCGAGCAGCAAUGUUUGGCCUUGCGCCUUUGGAGCGGCCGAUGUCGGAUUAGUUAGUUGGUGGGGUAAUGGCCUACCAAGGCGGCGAACGGUAGCUGGUGUGAGAGGACGGCAGGCCACCCGGGGAGGGGGACAGGGACCAGACUCCUACGGGAGGGAGCAGUGGGGAAUGUUGGGCAGUAGGGGGAAGCCUUGUCCAACCAUCCCACGUGCGGGAAGGAGGCCUUCGGGUUGGAAAGCGCCUUUGGCAGGAGCGAAACGCUGUCCGCUAAUACCAAGCGCGAGUGACGGUACCUGGAGAAUAAGCACCGGCUAACUACGUG